AGUAGCCUGUAAAUUAACUACCUAAGCAGAAAGAACUAGAUCAAGCUCCAGGCCUGUGGCUUUUCAGCCAGAAAACCUCAAAGGCACAAGGACAAACCAGGACAUGAAAUUAACCCAAUGGUGCUUUAGUUGGAAUGACAUGUAUAGAUGUAAUUUAUUGCAACAAAAAUGAAAAGUUCCCUAAAAUAAUAAAAAAAAAAAAAAAAAUGUGGAAAGUUUUUCUGAUGCUUCAGGAUUCUCUGAAUGGGUUUAGAUGCAGUGGCUGCGUGCAUUUGAAUAAUACGCAGCCUCAUUGAUGCCUGAGGCUUGUCCAUGAGGAUAUACUCCGUCUCAGAAUGACUGUCAGUGUAAAACUGGCUCUCCUAUAAAUAACGCAGUAAGAGGGAACAUGGGGAACAGCUCCGCUAUAGGGCUUUGCAGGCUAUGAGGAGGUGGGAGGGCCUCACAUGAAACUGGCAGGUCAGGCGAUGCAUAAUCAAGGAGCAACUUACUAAACUUACUAAUAAAUAGUACACAGGAGUGUUUUGAAACUAAACUGACCAUUCUUUCCAACAAGACAGGAGACUAACUCGGAAGCUGGGGAACUGAAUUCUGAUGCACAUUGUUUAAUUCCUUUUCCCAGGCUAACAUUUUCGCUACUUCAUUCCCCGUAUCAGCCAGUGGGAGGCCCUGGUUAGCUUCUUCCCUCUGUCCCUCCUCCCACCUCUGCUGCCCCACAAAGCAGCACAGUACUCUUUCGCUUUCAUUUUCAGAAGAACCAGAGCCCAGACACGAGUGAAGCAAUCUGCUCCCAGCAGCGGAAAAUCAAUCAGGGAAGAAGGUGCCGGUGCUCAAGAACAAAGUUCAUUUUUCCAGUUAGCACAUACUGGAAAUCGGUGUUACAAAGGGUACAGAUAAGUACAGUUUCAGGUUAAACUAGCGAACAAAACUGAAAGUGGUGACGUGUCCGAAACACGGAAAUGGAUCUACAACAGCGGGUUAAAUGGCACAAUAACCAAUAUACUUCCGAUCUUCAAUCUUAUCACCAUGAGAGACACCAGAGAGCUGUCUAAGGAUGUCAGAGACAAGAUUGUUGACCUUGACAAUAGUGGAAUGGGCUACAUGACCAUCAGCAAGCAGCUUGGUGAGAAAGUGACAACUGUUGGUAGAAUUAUUUGCAAAUGGAAGAAAGACAGAAUAACUAUCAAUCACCCUGGAUCUCAGGCCCCAAGGAAGAUUUCAUCUUGUGCGGCAUCAAUGAUCUUAAGAACACUGAGGGCUAACCCAAGAACUACAAAGGAGAAGCUCGUUAAUGAUCUCAAAGCAGCAGGGCUCUUGGUUGCCAAGAAAACCAUUGGUAACACAGUAUGCAGUUAUAGUUGAAAACCUGCAGUACUUAAAAAGUACCCCUGUUCAUGAGGGCUCAUGUUCAGACCCAUCUAAAGUAUACCAGUGAACACUGGAAUAAUUCCAAUGAGGCUUGGAAGAAUGUGAUAUGGCCAGAUGAGACCAAAAUCGAGCUGUUUGGCAUCAGCUCUACUCGCUGUGUUUAGAGGGAAAGGAAUGCUGACUGUAACCCCAGGAACACCAUCCCUACUGGAUGGGGCCAUGUAGCGUAAAAUCUUGGAAGAGAACCUCCUUCCUUCAGCCAGGGCACUGAAAAUGCAUUGUGGGUGGGUCUUGGUCUUCCAGCAAGACAACAACCCUAAGCUGCUUCAAGAAGAAGCUGAUUAAGGUCAUGGAGUGCCCUAGCCAGUCUCCGGACCUUAAUCCCAUAGAAAACCUAUGGUGGGAACUCAAGCUUCAUGUAUCCAAGUGACAGCCUAAAAACCUUAAAGAUUUGUAGGAGAUCUGCAAAGAGGAGUGGAUGAAAAUUCAUGCUGAGCUGUGUGAAAACCUGGUGACCAACUACAAGAAACAUCUGACAGUUGUGCUUGCCAACAAUAGUUACUCCACCAAGUACUAAAGCAUGUAUUCCAAAUUGGUUUGUAACUGUUGCAUAAUGAUUUUUCUGGCUUGCUUUGUUGAUCUAUCUAUCUUUUGCUGUUAAAAUAAACCUAACAGUGAAGUUAUAGACUUCUCAUUUCUUUAUUAAUGGGUCAAUUUAAUAAUUCAGCUGGGGG